rnacentral:rRNA from 1 species
CACAAGCGGUGGAGUAUGUGGUUUAAUUCGAUGCAACGCGAAGAACCUUACCUGGUCUUGACAUCCCGGAGACCCUUAGGAAACUAGGGGGUGCUUCCAUCUGGAAGAAUCUGGAGACAGGUGCUGCAUGGCUGUCGUCAGCUCGUGUCGUGAGAUGUUGGGUUAAGUCCCGCAACGAGCGCAACCCUUGCCUUUAGUUGCCAGCAGUUCGGCUGGGCACUCUAAAGGGACUGCCGGUGUUAAACCGGAGGAAGGUGGGGAUGACGUCAAGUCCUCAUGGCCUUUAUGACCAGGGCUACACACGUACUACAAUGGCCGAUACAAAGGGCAGCGACACUGCGAGGUGAAGCCAAUCCCGUAAAAUCGGUCUCAGUCCGGAUUGGAGUCUGCAACUCGACUCCAUGAAGUUGGAUUCGCUAGUAAUCGCGCAUCAGCCAUGGCGCGGUGAAUACGUUCCCGGGCCUU